CUGACUUUGAGUUUCUGUAGAAGCUAGACCCACGUGACGCGUUCGUCCAAUCAGCUGCCAGUUUUCAUUGUUUUAGGCGACAAUCCAGAUUAGCGCC